UCCUGCUUAGCUCAGUUGGUAGAGUGCUUCACUAGUAUAAGGAGGAAUGAAGAGGUCAGUCGUUCAAAUCGGCUAGCAGGAA